AAGUUCAUAUGAACACUUUGUACAGUUGUCUUGAAAAACAAUUUACUGAAAUAAUAGUUGAAACUUCUAUGGUAUUGAAACGCAGCCACAGCAGGUGGCUAGGUGUAACCCUAUCACACAGGCAGCCCUGAUUUGUAGCUAGAGGAUAAUUCCAGUGCUUCCAGAAGGAAACAAUAGCUAGAACAUUAACAAACAAGCAAUCUGCUCAAAUGGUUGAGGGUUCAAAAGCUUUUCUCCAGGCAAUGAGAAAUGGUAAGGGCAUUAUAAAAUUAAGACCUUUUGCUAUAAGGUGUUUUUAAAUACAGCUGCAUUCUGGUGUUGCAGUUCAUAUACUUUCUGUGCACAUGUUAUUCUCCUCAUCUUCCUUCAUAGGCUCACACUAAGAGCAAAUUCAAAGCAAGCUUUUGAGUGCAGCUAUUUCACUAUUACCACAUUUCUCAGUUUUCAGGUGUAGGUCACUUAACAGUUACUGUGACCUCACUGUUGCUUCAUAUUACAUAGUGUUUGUUAGCCAUUUUUUUCACUUCUUUUAAGAUGUAGCUAGGACUUAGUCUGUCUGGAAGGCAAUAGGAAAUGGGCUACCAGCACUGCUGCCUGGGGCAUCCCAGGGUAUUCCUUCAGCCCCCAGAGUACAUUCCCUCCAUGAGCUGCAGUGUUGCAUUUCUACAGGACACGGGCAACUGAAGAGGAUAAGGAAGUUAUAAGAUGGGAUAAGAUAGAUAUAAGAAGGAUAAAGAAGUUAAAGAAGUAGGGUUAUAUGGUGGUCAAACUUGCUUUUAAACCAAUGACCAGAGAACUACCAGAGAAUCACAGAAUGGCUUAUGUUGGAGGGGACCUUAAUGACCAUCUAGUUCCAACCCACCUUCACAGACAGGGUUGCCAACCACUAGAUCAGGUUGCCCAGCACUCCAAGAAGUUAGGAAAAAAGAAGCAAAAGAGCAAGAAAGGUUACCUACAUUUGUUAUUUUUUACUAUGUCUCUCAAAUGAAGGGAAAGGUAUCCAGUUACAGCAGUGUUAGAAAGAGGCAUGAAAAGAAAAGCACUAUUAUCUCGGUUAGUUUACCACUCCUUUGGCUGAUUAAUGUCUAGAUGCAAUUAAGAAAUUCCAAGCUAACUUUUUUUUCCUGUAAACAAGACUUUUUUCCCCCCCCACCUAGCAUGGGCAUCCUCCCAUGGUUGCUGUUGAACAGCAGUAAAAGGAUUCUUCAGCUCAGCUUCAGCUCACCUGGAGAAAUAAAUGGGAAGCCAGGGGGCUGCCACACAAAUUUGGGGAUGAGGAAGCAGAAGUGUGGUGAAGGAGGUUCCCCAGUUUCAUGUUCCUAAGCUGAAACCUUUGAAGGUGGGUGCACUUUUCAAUUGUACCUGUCUGAACUAGAGAGUCUGCUUGAUUUAGUCCAAGAUCAGAGUGGUUAAGACUUGCAUUUGCAAAAGGGACCCCCACGAUCUGAGACUGGUACACAAUAUCUGGCUAACCAAAAUCAAAAUGAAAACAUUAUUAACAACAGGAAGCUUAGGAGCACACAGCAAAGGGGACCUUGUGAGCCAGAUCUCUCUUUACGGGUAACAAUUUCAUGCAGUCACCUCUAUAAACAUAUUAAAAUCUGUUUCAUCUAUAGAGUAUUCUGGACUCUUUCUCCCACUCAGAAUGUUUUGUUAAAAACUGAUUGCAGCUAAGCCACACACACCUGUUUGCUCAAGGCAAUAUUGUUCUUCUGCUUAAAUAUGCCUUCUGACUCCAUGUGUUUAAUUCACUAUUGUAUUUAUAAAUCACAGUUGCAUUCUUCCUAAGCAUUUAUUCUACCAGGACAAACAAGACAAACUCUUCCAGUUUACUCCUCUAUAUUAGACUGCCCAUUGCUAAUCCCCACAGGAUUGCACCUGCCCCAGCUGCAUUCAUGUUUCUGGCAUGGGUGACCAGCAUUGUAAAGACAAAUCCAGGUGCAGUUUUACAAGAGUAGCUGCUUUAGUGCUUCCCCAUCUCUCUUGAAGAUUUCCUCCAUAGAAUGCUCUGGAAUUGCACUUACCUUUUACUCAGACACUUCAUACCAGACCAGCAGCCCAAAGCUAAUUUAUGAUUAACCAAUACUCUCAAGGUUUUCUCUGUCUCCAUAGCUUUUAAUGGAUGAGAAUUUCUGGUACGAGCUGAAAGCUCAUUAUUAAGCCUCUAGGUUCAUGACUCUGCACUUAUUUUCCUUAAUGCUGUUCAUAUUACCAGCAUUUUCCUGUUUUUCCUGGAGAGUCCAACCCUCCACCAUUUUGGCAGUAACGCUCAGCUUCAUGUCAUCAAAAACAAGGAAUACAUCCUCCAAAUAACUCACCCAUUACCAUAAAUUUAAUCUCAUUGCAAUAAGGGGACAUAAAGACUUAGGGGACAACACACACCUGGUUUUCCUUUGUGGUCUCUGUAAUUGUCACCCGAGCACCAAUGAAUUGGGCCAAUAUGCUAUCUACUGCCAACAGCUAGCUACAGCCCAAGGAGCUCCAACUACCCUUAAUAAAAUCUGGGGUUUUGGUCCCACUCUAUUCCCUACUGCCUUACAUUGAAGGCUACAAGGAAAUACAGCCCUCCUGUGACAAACACGGUUGACAAGUAUCGAGAACCUGCCCCUUGAAAGAGCAUCUGUUGUGAAUCUAUCCAAAGCACACCCCCCCCCCCCCAGCAACAACAGAACACCCAGGAUAAUAAGCUCUUUUGAACUAGAGCUGCUUUUUUUUUUUUUCUUUGCUUUGUAUCCACAGCACUGGAAAUGUAAGAGCUUGAAUGAUCCGCUCCCUGUUGCAGACAAUGGAAAAAUGCUGAAACACUAAAAUGAAGCCUUCAAUAGAUAGAAUGAAGCCUUGUCACUAAGAUGAACUGCUAACAGCAAGUUCAGCUGAGCCUGCACUGAGCUAGCAUCCCAGCUGAAAAUAAUGUAGAUGCUAAAGAUUUUUAUUAUUAUGUUUGAAGUGAGACCCUUUGACAAGUUACAACACAGAGAAACUUUAUGGAACAAAAGCUCUGCUCUGGGUGAUACCUACGCUUUAAAAGCAACCCAUCUGCGACUACUACUCUUCCACCUCAAUACCAAAUGCAUUCCAUUUAAAAAUAAGACAUCCUAAUGAGUUUGGCCAAUCAACAUGGGAUUCAUUGACAGAAUGGAGAUGAUGGAGAAAAUGUGAGAAGAAAACUGGUUCUACUUGCUGUCCAUUAGACUGGAUGCGUUGUUGUCAAGAUUAAACAUCUCACAGUCAGUAACCAUAGUAAUGUACUGUUUCCUAACAUAGGCAUCCAAAAUCCUGCCACUCUUUCUAAAAGCACAUUCCCUAAACCAUCACCUGAGGCUUUCGUGACCACACUCACUAAACGCGUAUUUCCAUGCCCUCCAGUCUUAAUAGAGCAAAC
ensembl:lncRNA